rnacentral:lncRNA from 1 species
GCUAAGUGUCCCCUCGAUGGGAUUCGGUCUACACAGGGUCAUUCAUGAUGCCUUCUUACUAAAGGCCUCUAGAGCUGGUUUUCACUUAUAAGAAAUUCAGGGUGUAGACAGUUAAAAAGCACCAUGAAGAAAUGGAAAGCCGGGUCCCCUUUGUGGAACAUUCUUGAGGACAAGAAGUCAGUGGCGGGGAAGACUACUCGGGAUCAGAAGAAAUCCAGAGAAAAACCACGGUGUGCAGUGUGGAUCCUGCUUGGAUUUUGAUUCCAACAAACACAUUUUGAAAGGAGUCGUAGUGGGGUUCAAUAGGGAUACCUCAUAAGAAGGUAGCCAGAGUCAUUAACUUCUUCAGGAGUGAUCACAGCACUGCAGUUAUGUGAGAAAAUGUCUGUUUUUAGAGAUGCAUGGAAAGUACGUAGAGAUGGGUGUGCAACGUGGUGUCAGGGACUUGAUUUAAGAUAUUUCAACAACAGCAAGAAAGGAAAAAAAUAGCCAGGUCCCUUCCUCCGCUCCCCCACAAUCUGCUCCUCCUUGUGCCCCACUCUCUCAGUCAGCAUCGGUGACUCCUCUGCUAAAGUCAGAAACCUUAGGAUCAUUCCUGAGUCUCAUGGCCCUUGCCUUUCACAUCCCAGUAAUAUGAAGAUCUGCAAUACAAUCGGCCCCAGUAAAAUCAAACACGGAUCCAACCCUGGGAUCUAAAGAGGUCACCAAGCCCCAAGCAGGAUGAAUGAAAAGAAAACCACAUCUGAGCACUUCAUUGUCAAAUUGCUGAAAACCAAAGAUAAUUAAAAGCAGCCAAGUAGAAAAGACAUUUUUAUAGUGCUAAAAAGAAAAAUAAAGUCCAUUUUGUAGGUCUCCGUGUUCUACCAGUUUGGAUUAUGUAUCUUUCCCGGUGUUUCCAUGGGGUGCUCUACUUCUUUUAUGCAGUAGUUGCUUAAUUGUUGCUCUCCUCCUCUUUGACUGUAAGAUACUAUGUGUAUCUUGUGACCUGCUUAACAUUGAUUGUACCCUCCGCCCUCAGCAUGGUAAGUUUGCUCAAUUGCUAUUUGCUAAGUGAAUGGAAGGCCACAUUUAUUUUUUUAGAUACUGGCUGUAUCAAUAAGAAAUGUGAAAUAGACUAAAAUUAUUUAGGAACAAUUAUGUGUAUACUAUACAUAAGCUAAACCUAAAAAGGAAAAAAAAAGAUUUAAUAACUAUAUUCUACAAUUAAGUAAUGUUUACAUUCCACAAAAAUACUAAUUUGGGAGCAUUGAUAAAAGCAACCGCUUGGAUUAAGGCAAUACUCAA